ensembl:lncRNA
GUUGCAUCAAGCCUGUGCAAACUACAAACAACAGAACAGUUGCUCACAUUUCUUUUGUUCACAAAGGUCUUUUUGUUCCUCUAAAUGUAAGCAUUCUACUGUAUGGAGGUCUUUGAGCCCAUUCUGGUGCAUCAGAAUAAGACGUGGGAUGAAGCCCUGAACUACUGCAGACAGAACUACAUUGACAUGAUACCAAGUUACCCAAUUCAGCACAGUAUUCACAGCACUCAAGGAACCAAAGAAGGAACCAAAGAAGAAUCCCCACCACCUCACCAGUGCCAGUCACAAUCAUGGAGGAGACCCUGCAGCUGCCAUGGAAUCCGGAGGGAAUAUGGAAGAGAGAGAAAAAAAAAAAAAAAAACCUUUUGGGGACUUAAGAGUAAUUUUUAUGACCAUAAUUGAGUACUAUAUAAAGUGUUACAAUUUGACAAUGUGUUACUUUAAAUGCUAAAAGUAAUUUUGAUUCAAAUACAUUGGACGUUUUAACCAAGUCAGUGGAAUUGUCAGUGUGAUAGCGCGCCUUCUCCGGUUUAAAUUUGAAGCUACAAUAGACAUAUGCUGUUUUGAAUGAAUGUUUUUUAUGUCUAUAUAAAGUGGUUGCAUAUUGUUAAAACAAGUCAUGGUAGUGAUAUCUUUGUAGCACUGACGACUCUAUAAAUCAGUGGCAAAGUAAAGCAAAUGUCCGGCGAAUAUCGUACCUAAAACUAACUUUGCAGCGCUAGAAAAGCUAUUAUUGCGGUGCCCGGGAGGUCACAUGGUAGGUUCACUAAGUUUUGUCAUGGCCACGACAUAAUAAAUUGUGGGAAACUGAUAAUAUGUCGUAACCACGAGAUAUUAAUUUGUGGGAACGUCAUAUUAACUCAUAGAACGUGAUGUUAUGUUCUGGCUACAAGACCAUUUUGUCGAGGUAACCUCAUCCUUAUGUUGUGGCUUCGAGAUGCUAUGUUCAGGGAACAACAUCCAUUUGUCAUGGCCACGACUUCUUAUGUUGAGGGAACAACAUAUUUUUCUCGUGGUCAUGAGUUUAAUGCGUAAACAAACCUGCGUGACCAUAGCAACUUGAAAUACUUGAAGGGUGACCUUUUGAUUGGCCAGGGCUAUACAGCAUUUUUACUGGUCUCUUAUUUAAAAAAAAAAAAGCAUUUAAGAAUUGUGUAACAUUAUUGCUGAGUGAGCAAAAGGCAUUACUGUGUAGAUCAUCUGUAUAGAAAUGACAGAUUUUUUUUUAGUCUCUUUGGACUGAACUUCAAUCUAUAUAGAUAACAUCUUAUUUAUUUAUUUAUUUAUUUAAUGACCUGUGGCCUUGUAGCACGAAGCAAAAUGAAGUUGCAGAGUUAGUUUGGAGUUGACAAAACCCAAUAAAGCCAACCUGGUUAAGAUCUGGUUCAAUGGGCUCACAAAGCUUGAUAUAAACCUUCUCUCGCAACUCAGAGUUUGAACCAGAGUUUGUGAUUAACUCUGGAGAGCGUGCACCUGAACGUGCGACACGUGCAGCAAACAGCCAGUCACAGGGAAUGUGUGGAAAGCUUCAGCAUAGCGUCAUUUGGAUUCACUUCUCACAAGAGUCAGUGCAAUUAACUUUUCUGCUGAAGAUUAAGAGAUGUCGUUAUCAAAAAUGUAAUACCAUUUAAAUGGUAUUACUUGUAAAUCCAUUGACAAGGCAGGAAUAAACCCUUCUGCUGCACCAAAAGUUUGAAAGUGAAAGUCGUGACAUUUUGCCAAGUAUCGUACGCGGAACUGGUGCUCUGCAUUUAACCCAUCCAAGUGCACACACACAGCAGUGAGAAGUGAACACACCGUGAACACACACCCGGAGCAGUGGGCAGCUAUAUCCAGCGCCCGGGGAGCAACUAGGGGUUCAGUGCCUUGCUCAAGGGCACUUCAGCCAUGGGUAUUGAGGGUGGAAGAGAGCGUUGUUCAUUCACUCCCCCCACCUACAACUCCUGCCAGCCCUGAGACUCAAACCUGCGGCCUUCGGGUUACAAGUCCAACUCUCUGACCAUUAGGCCACAGCUGCCUCUGUGCACAAUUAAUAUAACAUAAAUUUGGAAAAAAAAAAAAAAAAAAAAAAAAUAUAUAUAUAUAUAUAUAUAUAUAUAUAAAAAGAAAUACAUAUAUAUUUUAGGUGCUAAAAUUUUUUUAGAAGUUAGAUUCUGUAAAUUAUCAUUCUUUAAACUAGUAAAUACUAAUAGAAAACUAAAACUAAAAAACAUUAAAAG